UACGAAGGGGGCAAGCGUUGUUCGGAAUGACUGGGCGUAAAGGGCGCGUAGGCGGUUCGUUGCGUCAGAUGUGAAAUCCCCAGGCUCAACCUGGGAACUGCAUCCGAUACUGGAUGGCUUGAAUUCGGGAGAGGGAUGCAGAAUUCCAGGUGUAGCGGUGAAAUGCGUAGAUAUCUGGAGGAAUACCGGUGGCGAAGGCGGCAUCCUGGGACCGACAUUGACGCUGAUGAGCGAAAGCUAGGGGGAGCAAACGGGAUUAAGAA
rnacentral:rRNA from 1 species